AGUGAUGUGGUUUAAUGCCACUCCCUCACUAAAAACCCUCACCAUCCUGUGAAUGAGACAUUUGCAGUUGAGGCGCUCUCUCUUGAUACAUCGUUGGAGGAGGCUGUGUCCCUCCUGCAACAGCACAAACUUGAAAAUGUCUCCAGCUGUGAUAUCAUUUCUGCUCAUCUUGCUUCCAUAUCGAGCCAAGAGUGUGACAUUUCAGCCGUCUCUUCCCAGAAUAGUCGAGGACAAGGCCAGAGUAGAAAUUACAUGCAUUCAUGAUGAUAACAACCUCUAUGUAAUGCUCUGGUACCAGCAAAAAGAGAGAGGUUUGAUGAGCUUGAUUGGAUUCAGCAGUUCUGGCAGUGAGCCUAACUAUGAGAAACAUUUUAAAGGUUGGUUUAAGAUUACAAGAAAUGACACCCAAACAGGAGCUCUGAUUAUUCAGAGUGUGAAUCUAUCAGACACGGC